rnacentral:rRNA from 1 species
AGAGAGAGACAUGCGCGCAUAUCAAUAAGCGGAGGAAAAGAAACUAACAAGGAUUCCCUUAGUAACGGCGAGUGAAGCGGGAAGAGCUCAAAUUUGAAAUCUUCAGGGUUUUACCUUGACGAAUUGUAGUUUAAAGAAGUGUUUUCUGCUGAAGUUUUGGUAAAAGUUCUUUGGAAUAGGACAUCAUAGAGGGUGAGAAUCCCGUAUUUGACCAUUAUUUUCAGCUUUGUGAUACACUUUCAAAGAGUCGGAUUGUUUGGGAAUGCAGUCCAAAAUGGGUGGUAAAUUUCAUCUAAAGCUAAAUAUUGGCGAGAGACCUGAUAGCGAACAAGUACCGUGAGGGAAAGAUGAAAAGAACUUUGAAAAGAGAGUUAAACAGUACGUGAAAUUGUCAAAAGGGAAGCGUUUGACACCAGUGUUGUUUUCUCGAAAAUCAAUUAAAAAUGGCUCGAUUUUGUAUUGCUUGAGACCUUAAAAGCUCACUGUACAUUUUUCGUGUCUUUUUUAAUGCACUUUUCGUUUAACAAGUCAACAUCAGUUUCUUUUGUUGUAAAAGGGUCAUUGGAAGGUGGCUUUCUUUUCGGAGAAAGUGUUUAUAGCCUCUGGCCUCUGCAAUCGAAGAGACUGAGGUCUGCAGCGUAGACUCUUCGGGGUUAGAUACAUUUGUGCUAAGUUAUAGCUUUUUAUAGACAACUUGUUGACUAUAAUUAGUCUUGUAGCUUACUCGCUUAUGCUAUUUUACCUACGCUUAGGAUGUUGAGUCGUAGAGCACGCAG